GCUUGUAGUUAGGACAGAGAGCCCAGCAGGCUACACAACAACACAGCUGGAAAACUACCGUUUCUCAAAACGUAUACAAAUAACUUAAAAAAGAUUUGACUGCUAAAUGGAACUUAACUGGCUAAUUUUAGCUAGCUAACAUUAACGUAGCUCUCUGGCUAAUCCUCCAUGGACAUGAAAUCUUCUAGCUUGGAUGGAAGGAUGGAGAAGUGAACAAAGGGAAUGAGUACAGAAGUUAUCCAGCAUGCUGACUAAGACAUUUAAAUAGCCUAUGUUUUGCUAUCUAUCUCUUUCUCUAUCUCUCUCCGUCUAUCUGCCUGACUGCCAGAAUGCUGAGGGUCAACAUAGUCAAUGUACUUGCUAGGCUAAAUCUAACUUAGUGAAGACCUUAGGUAAUGGUUAAUCGGGAUUCUUCUGUCUUUACAGUUCCUGAAACAUGUCAAUGACCUGAUGCAUGGCUUCUACAGCAGUGCUUGGCCACCCACUCAGUUACCAGUAACCUAUUCUGCCACAUCUCAGGGAAAGGAGACAGCAGAACCACCCCUCCCUAAAUCCAUAGUCAUUGAAAAGGACCUGAGCUAUAGGACCAUACCUCAGGACUACCUGGCCUGAUGACUCCUUGCAGUCCCAAGUCCACCUGGCCAUGCUGAUGCUCCAGUUUCAUCUGUUCUGCCUGCGGCUAUGGAACCCUGACCUGUUCACCGGAUGUGCUACCUGUCCCAGACCUGCUGUUUUUAACUCUCUAGAGACAGCAGGAGCGGUGGAGAUACUCAGAAUUAUCUGCUAUGAAAAGUCAACUGACAUUUAAUCCUGAGGGGCUGACCUGUUGCACUCUCGACAACCACUGUGAUUAUUAUUAUUUGACCCUGCUGGUCAUCUAUGAACACUUGAACAUCUUGGCCAUGUUCUGUUAUAAUCUCCACCCGGCACAGCCAGAAGAGGACUGGCCACCCCUCAUAGCCUGGUUCCUCUCUAGGUUUCUUCCUAGGUUCUGACCUUUCUAGGGAGUUUUUCCUAGCCACCGUGCUUCUACACCUGCAUUGCUUGCUGUUUGGGGUUUUAGGCUGGGUUUCUGUACAGCACUUUGAGAUAUCAGCUGAUGUAAGAAGGGCUUUAUAAAUACAUUUGAUUUGACUUCCAAGCUGUUACAUAUCUAGGCUUUCCAAAAUGUCACGUUCAUCAGUGUGUUGGUGUUUUGACAGAAACCGGUAAUCCAAAUCAGACCGUCUGAUUAUAUUGGUAUGAAUAGCUGGACUGUAUGUCUUUUUGCCUUGUUGUUUUCUCCUGAAAGUGAUUUAAGGUGGACAGGGUUUGAUUAGCAGAUUGUGGACCACAGGGAGAGAGUGCUGACUUUUUAAGUGAGUUUGUUUUGUUUUUCCUUCACUCUGCAGUCCAACUCAUCCCAAACAAUCUCAAUUUGGUUGAGGUCGGGGGAUUGUGGAGGCCAGGUCAUCUGAUGCAGCACUCCAUCACUCUCCUUCUUGGUCAAAUAGCCCUUACACAGCCUGGAGGUGUGUUGGGUCACUGUCCUGUUGAAAAAUAAAUGAUAGUCCCACUAAGCGCAAACCAGAUGUGAUAUAUAUCGCUACAGAAUGCUGUGGGAGCCAUGCUGGUUAAGUGUGCCUUGAAUUCUAAAUAAAUCACAGACAGUGUCACCAGCAAAGCACCCCCACAGCAUAAACACCUCCUCCUCCCUGCUUUACGGUGGGAAAUACACAUGUGGAGAUCAUCCUUUCACCCACACCACAUCUCACAAAGACACUGCAGUUGGAACCAGAAAUCUCCAAUUUGGACUCCAGAACAAAGGACAAAUCUCCACCGGUCUAAUGUCCAUUGCUCGUGUUUCUUGGCCCAAGCAAGUCUCUUCUUAUUAUUAGUGUCCUUUAGUAGUGGUUUCUUUGCAGCAAUUCGACCAUGAAGGCCUGAUUCACACAGUCUCCUCUGAACAGUUAAUGUUGAGAUGCGCCUGUUACUUGAACUCUGUGAAGCAUUUACUUGGGAUGCAAUUUCUGAUGCUGGUAACUCAUAGUGCUUGAUGGUUUUUGCAACUGCACAUGAAGAAACUUUCAUAGUUCUAUUGACUGACCUUCAUGUCUUAAAGUAAUGAUGGACUGUUGUUUCUAUUUGCUUAUUUGAGCUGUUCUUGCUAUAAAAUGGACUUGGUCUUUUACCAAAUAGGGCUAUCAUCUGUAUACACAACUGAUUGGCUCAAAAACAUUAUUAAGGAAAGAAAUUCCACAUAUUAACUUUUAAGAAGGCACACCUGUUAAAUUAAAUGCAUUCCAGGUGACUACCUCAUGAAGCUGGUUGAGAGAAGGCCAGUUGUGCAAAGCUGUCAUCAAGGCAAAAGGUGGCUAUUUGAAUAAUCUCAAAUAUAACAUAUAUUUUAAUUUGUUAAUCACUUUUUUGAUUACUACAUGAUUCCAUGUCUGUUAUUUCAUUGUUUCAUGGUUUCAUGAUGUCUUCACUAUUAUUCCACAAUGUAGAAAAUAAUAAAAAUAAAGAAAAACCCUUGAAUGAGUAGGUGUUCUAGAACUUUUGACCGGUAGUGUAAGUGGCAUGUGAACACAAAUUACACUCAUGCCAAUUAAAAACUAUGGAAGAAAAGUCCCUCUCUGCAGGGCUUCCUCCUCGGUUGCGUCCUGCCAAUGCAGAUACCAGCCAAUUCCAGGCCGCCAGGUGGGUAGGGCUGCCGCACUGCUUCCGAGUCACGGCAGCAAAUUAUAACAUAAGUACCUGUGAGGGCAUUUUCUGUUAAACCUUACUAAUGCUUGUAUACUAAAAUAUCUUUAUUUAAGCCUAGGCAUUGGACUUGAGAUUGUUUUAAGAAACUAACUCAAAUAAGAUAGAAAAGUGUGUGUGCAUUAAUAAGAGGCCUGUUCUAACUGUUCUGUAUGUGUAGUAUAACCCCAUGAUAUCUGGGAGCUCAACCAAGAGCUGACCGAAAUGACUCAUUUUUUAUGUGUGUGACCAGUACAACCGUACAUCAUCUUGGCCAGCAGUCAAAGGCACUUGCUUGCCCAACUUGGGGGAACUGUUGAGCUACUGUUAGAGGAAGUAUGCCUGGAGUGACUUCCUGUCAUUCUGAUCCUUGUUGUCCUCACUCAGUUGCGACAGACUGAAGUAACCUUUUCACCCAGUUGUCUCCCCUCACACACACACACACAUAGGGUCACGUGUUUUGCAGAUGCUUGCAUCUAAAUAAAUGCUCCUGUUGUCACGUUCUGACCUUAGUUCUUUUGUUAUGUCUUUGUUGUAGUAUGGUCAGGGCGUGAGUUGGGUGGGUAGUCUAUGUUCUUUUUUCUAUGUUGGGGUUUUGUGUUUGGCCUGGUUCUCAAUCAGAGGCAGGUGUCGUUCGUUGUCUCUGAUUGAGAAGCAUACUUAGGUAGCCUUUUCUCACCUGUGUUUUGUGGGUGAUUGUUUUCUGUUAUGUGUCUGUCACCUUACAGAACUGUUUCGGUCUCCUUUGUUAUUUAGUUUAGUGUUCUCUGUUUAAUAAACAAUAUGAACACUUACCACGCCGCGAUUUGUUCCUCACCUCAUUCCAACGCCGAGCGUUACACCUGUACUAUUUGUACAGGAGGCACUCACUCAAUUUCACCUGCGUGGGUGGUGCGACCAGCCUCCUUAUUAUAUGUUUUUAAUAAAAGUAAUACCUUGAUUGAU